rnacentral:rRNA from 1 species
CUACGGGAGGCUCCAGUGGGGAAUAUUGGACAAUGGGGGAAACCCUGAUCCAGCAAUGCCGCGUGUGUGAAGAAGGCCUGCGGGUUGUAAAGCACUUUCGGUUGGGAGGACUGCUUCUAGCACUAAUAUUGUUGGAAGUUGACGUUACCUUCAGAAGAAGCACCGGCUAACUCCGUGCCAGCAGCCGUCGGUAAUACGGAUGGUGCAAGCGUUAAUCGGAAUUACUGGGCGUAAAGCGCGCGUAGGCGGCUAGAUCAGUCGGGUGUGAAAGCCCCGGGCUUAACCUGGGAACUGCAUCCGAUACUGUCUAGCUUGAGUACAGGAGAGGAGAGUGGAAUUCCACAUGUAGCGGUGAAAUGCGUAGAUAUGUGGAGGAACACCAAUGGCGAAGGCAGCUCUCUGGCCUGAUACUGACGCUGAGGUGCGAAAGCGUGGGGAGCAAACAGGAUUAGAUACCCUCGUAGUC